UUAAGUUAUUAAGGGCGCACGGUGGAUGCCUUGGCACUAGAAGCCGAUGAAGGACGUUACUAACGACGAUAUGCUUUGGGGAGCUGUAAGUAAGCUUUGAUCCAGAGAUUUCCAAAUGGGGAAACCCAGCAUGAGUUAUGUCAUGUUAUCGAUAUGUGAAUACAUAGCAUAUCAGAAGGCACACCCGGAGAACUGAAACAUCUUAGUACCCGGAGGAAGAGAAAGAAAAUUCGAUUCCCUUAGUAGCGGCGAGCGAAACGGGAAGAGCCCAAACCAACAAGCUUGCUUGUUGGGGUUGUAGGACACUCUAUACGGAGUUACAAAGGACGACAUUAGACGAAUCAUCUGGAAAGAUGAAUCAAAGAAGGUAAUAAUCCUGUAGUCGAAAAUGUUGUCUCUCUUGAGUGGAUCCUGAGUACGACGGAGCACGUGAAAUUCCGUCGGAAUCUGGGAGGACCAUCUCCUAAGGCUAAAUACUCUCUAGUGACCGAUAGUGAACCAGUACCGUGAGGGAAAGGUGAAAAGCACCCCGGAAGGGGAGUGAAAUAGAACCUGAAACCGUGUGCUUACAAGUAGUCAGAGCCCGUUAAUGGGUGAUGGCGUGCCUUUUGUAGAAUGAACCGGCGAGUUACGAUUUGAUGCAAGGUUAAGCAGUAAAUGUGGAGCCGUAGCGAAAGCGAGUCUGAAUAGGGCGUUUAGUAUUUGGUCGUAGACCCGAAACCAGGUGAUCUACCCUUGGUCAGGUUGAAGUUCAGGUAACACUGAAUGGAGGACCGAACCGACUUACGUUGAAAAGUGAGCGGAUGAACUGAGGGUAGCGGAGAAAUUCCAAUCGAACCUGGAGAUAGCUGGUUCUCUCCGAAAUAGCUUUAGGGCUAGCCUCAAGUGAUGAUUAUUGGAGGUAGAGCACUGUUUGGACGAGGGGCCCCUCUCGGGUUACCGAAUUCAGACAAACUCCGAAUGCCAAUUAAUUUAACUUGGGAGUCAGAACAUGGGUGAUAAGGUCCGUGUUCGAAAGGGAAACAGCCCAGACCACCAGCUAAGGUCCCAAAAUAUAUGUUAAGUGGAAAAGGAUGUGGCGUUGCCCAGACAACUAGGAUGUUGGCUUAGAAGCAGCCAUCAUUUAAAGAGUGCGUAAUAGCUCACUAGUCGAGUGACACUGCGCCGAAAAUGUACCGGGGCUAAACAUAUUACCGAAGCUGUGGAUUGUCCUUUGGACAAUGGUAGGAGAGCGUUCUAAGGGCGUUGAAGCAUGAUCGUAAGGACAUGUGGAGCGCUUAGAAGUGAGAAUGCCGGUGUGAGUAGCGAAAGACGGGUGAGAAUCCCGUCCACCGAUUGACUAAGGUUUCCAGAGGAAGGCUCGUCCGCUCUGGGUUAGUCGGGUCCUAAGCUGAGGCCGACAGGCGUAGGCGAUGGAUAACAGGUUGAUAUUCCUGUACCACCUAUAAUCGUUUUAAUCGAUGGGGGGACGCAGUAGGAUAGGCGAAGCGUGCGAUUGGAUUGCACGUCUAAGCAGUAAGGCUGAGUAUUAGGCAAAUCCGGUACUCGUUAAGGCUGAGCUGUGAUGGGGAGAAGACAUUGAGUCUUCGAGUCGUUGAUUUCACACUGCCGAGAAAAGCCUCUAGAUAGAAAAUAGGUGCCCGUACCGCAAACCGACACAGGUAGUCAAGAUGAGAAUUCUAAGGUGAGCGAGCGAACUCUCGUUAAGGAACUCGGCAAAAUGACCCCGUAACUUCGGGAGAAGGGGUGCUCUUUAGGGUUAACGCCCAGAAGAGCCGCAGUGAAUAGGCCCAAGCGACUGUUUAUCAAAAACACAGGUCUCUGCUAAACCGUAAGGUGAUGUAUAGGGGCUGACGCCUGCCCGGUGCUGGAAGGUUAAGAGGAGUGGUUAGCUUCUGCGAAGCUACGAAUCGAAGCCCCAGUAAACGGCGGCCGUAACUAUAACGGUCCUAAGGUAGCGAAAUUCCUUGUCGGGUAAGUUCCGACCCGCACGAAAGGCGUAACGAUUUGGGCACUGUCUCAACGAGAGACUCGGUGAAAUCAUAGUACCUGUGAAGAUGCAGGUUACCCGCGACAGGACGGAAAGACCCCGUGGAGCUUUACUGUAGCCUGAUAUUGAAAUUCGGCACAGCUUGUACAGGAUAGGUAGGAGCCUUUGAAACGUGAGCGCUAGCUUACGUGGAGGCGCUGGUGGGAUACUACCCUAGCUGUGUUGGCUUUCUAACCCGCACCACUUAUCGUGGUGGGAGACAGUGUCAAGCGGGCAGUUUGACUGGGGCGGUCGCCUCCUAAAAGGUAACGGAGGCGCUCAAAGGUUCCCUCAGAAUGGUUGGAAAUCAUUCAUAGAGUGUAAAGGCAUAAGGGAGCUUGACUGCGAGACCUACAAGUCGAGCAGGGUCGAAAGACGGACUUAGUGAUCCGGUGGUUCCGCAUGGAAGGGCCAUCGCUCAACGGAUAAAAGCUACCCCGGGGAUAACAGGCUUAUCUCCCCCAAGAGUUCACAUCGACGGGGAGGUUUGGCACCUCGAUGUCGGCUCAUCGCAUCCUGGGGCUGUAGUCGGUCCCAAGGGUUGGGCUGUUCGCCCAUUAAAGCGGUACGCGAGCUGGGUUCAGAACGUCGUGAGACAGUUCGGUCCCUAUCCGUCGUGGGCGUAGGAAAUUUGAGAGGAGCUGUCCUUAGUACGAGAGGACCGGGAUGGACAUACCUCUGGUGUACCAGUUGUCGUGCCAACGGCAUAGCUGGGUAGCUAUGUGUGGACGGGAUAAGUGCUGAAAGCAUCUAAGCAUGAAGCCCCCCUCAAGAUGAGAUUUCCCAACUUCGGUUAUAAGAUCCCUCAAAGAUGAUGAGGUUAAUAGGUUCGAGGUGGAAGCAUGGUGACAUGUGGAGCUGACGAAUACUAAUCGAUCGAAGACUUAAUCAA
rnacentral:rRNA from 1 species